GGGAGGAGGAGGGGGAGGGAGAGAGAAAGGGAAGAAACACCAGGGAGCUCUCUCUCUCUUUUCCCCACCCACUCCCUGUACCACACA
rnacentral:miRNA from 1 species